rnacentral:rRNA from 1 species
UACGUAGGGACCAAGCGUUGUUCGGAUUUACUGGGCGUAAAGGGCGCGUAGGCGGCGUGGUAAGUCACUUGUGAAAUCUCUGAGCUUAACUCAGAACGGCCAAGUGAUACUGCUGUGCUAGAGUGCAGAAGGGGCAAUCGGAAUUCUUGGUGUAGCGGUGAAAUGCGUAGAUAUCUGGAGGAACACCGGUGGCGAAGGCGGCAUUCUGGACCGAUAUUGACGCGUGAGGAGCGAAAGCGUGGGGAGCGAACAGG